GGAACGAGCCUUCGGGCAGCGUAGACAGGUGCUGCAUGGCUGUCGUCAGCUCGUGUCGUGAGAUGUUGGGUUAAGUCCCGCAACGAGCGCAACCCGUGUUGCUAGUUACAAGUGUCUAGCGAGACUGCCGGUAACAAGCCGGAGGAAGGUGCGGAUGAUGUCAAGUCAGCAUGGCCUAUAUGUCCAGGGCUACACACACGCUACAAUGGCUGGUACAAAGAGAAGCGAAAGGGAGACCUGAAGCGAAUCUCAUCAAAGCCAGUCAUAGUUCGGAUUGCAGGCUGCAACUCGCCUGCAUGAAGUCGGAGUUGCUAGUAACCGCAGGUCAGCAAUACUGCGGUGAAUACGUUCCCGGGCCUUGUACACAC
rnacentral:rRNA from 1 species